GACGAACGCUGGCGGCGUGCCUAAUACAUGCAAGUCGAGCGGACAGAUGGGAGCUUGCUCCUGAAGUCAGCGGCGGACGGGUGAGUAACACGUGGGCAACCUGCCUGUAAGACUGGGAUAACUUCGGGAAACCGGAGCUAAUACCGGAUACGUUCUUUCCUCGCAUGAGGACAGAGUGAAAGAUGGUUUCGGCUAUCACUUACAGAUGGGUCCGCGGCGCAUUAGGUAGUUGGUGGGGUAAUGGCCCACCGAGGCGACGAUGCGUAGCCGACCUGAGAGGGUGAUCGGCCACACUGGGACUGAGACACGGCCCAGACUCCUACGGGAGGCAGCAGUAGGGAAUCUUCCGCAAUGGACGAAAGUCUGACGGAGCAACGCCGCGUGAGCGAAGAAGGCCUUCGGGUCGUAAAGCUCUGUUGUCAGGGAAGAACAAGUGCCAGAGUAACUGCUGGCACCUUGACGGUACCUGACCAGAAAGCCACGGCUAACUACGUGCCAGCCGCCGCCGUAACAC
rnacentral:rRNA from 1 species